AUUGCUACUUGUGCGCCUGUAGCGAGCCGGUUUCACGUCAUCAUCUGGUUCUUGUCUGUGGAGUUUGGACCUCGUUGUGGCGCCUCAAAAGAUUCACAAGCUAGAAGAACACUGGUGCAACAAUGGUGAAGAUCUUCAUUGGGAACCUGUCUCAGCACACUGGGAAGGAUGAAAUUGAAGCUCUCUUUACCAAAUAUGGUGCAGUAACAGAAUGUGCCAAGUUCCAAAACUAUGCUUUUGUCCAUAUGGAAGACCGUAAGUCGGCUACCAAAGCCAUCCGUGAGCUCCAUCUACAUAAGCUGGAUGGCAGGCCCAUCAAUGUGGAGCCCAGCAGGGGCAAAAACCAGGGCCCUGUGAAGCUCCACAUAGCCAAUGUAGAAAAGGGCUACGAUGACGAGCUCCGUGGUCUCUUUGAAGAGUAUGGCACAGUCACAGAGUGCGCCAUUGUCAAGAACUUUGCCUUCGUACACAUGAACAACUCAGAUGAGGCCAUGGAUGCCAUAAAGGGCCUGGAUAACACAGAGUUUCAAGGAAAGCGCAUACAUGUCCAGAUAUCAAAAAGCAGACCCAGAGGGGAGCAGGAGGAGGAUGACUAUCCACCUCCACCAGGCAGAGGAGGCUAUGGGUAUCCUCCUCGAUACCCAGGCGACAGGCCUGAGCCUCCCUACAGAGGGCGCAUGUCUGCUUACGCUCCCCCGCCUCUGCCACCACCUCCACCACCACCUCCCCCAAGACGACCAGCUUAUCUCGACCAUCUGGACCGCGGCUAUGGUGAGCGAGACCCCUAUGGGAUGGUCGACUACUACGAGAAAUACAGAGCCCGUCCUUACGCCGCAGCAGGCUACAGUGACAGGCGUUCCAGCGCACCCAUCCCCCCUCCGCCUCCUCCCUCUGCGAUGGUGAGAGAACGUCUUCUCGACCCGUACGAGCGGCGCUCACUCCCCCCGCCUCCUCCGUCCUACAUGACCAGGGACCGAAGCCCCAUCAGACGAGCCCCCCCUCCUCCCGCUCCAUCAGCUGGUAACGGGUACUCCUACGAGCGGUCCCGGCUCUCCCCGGUGUCCAGGGCUCCAAUGUAUCCAGCUCCCAGACCGAGGGACGCCUUCCAAGACAGAGGGCAACUGCCACCGCCACCAUCUCGAUAUGCAGGCUAUUAGGCACACAAGUGUGAUUCAAGGUUUAGAAUAUGACGAUCGUCGUUGUCUGCUGAUGUACGUGGCGCUAUACAUCCCCCUCGUCUAUGGCGGAUUGCGUUGCGUUCGCCUGAGACUUACUGGAAGAUACCGUAUUGCAGACAGCCUCGUACUAAAAACCUAUGAUUCCAUGUCUACAGUUCACGUAUUCUUCUGAGCUGUUUAUGCCUUUUCUGUUUCUCUGCUUGUUUUACUGUUCAAAUCCUUCAAAUGUUUUGCAGAAUAGGAUGCUGGCUUAGGUGCUUAGUCUAUUUCAGUGUGACGCAGUACUGUUCAUGGCCAAAAUCAAUCUGUCCUUCAAGCUUUCUAAAUGGCCUCCGGGAAACUGUGACAUAAUUUCACAGCAAGGGAACUCUUUUUAAGUGGAAAAAAUAGUCUUUGUAAACAAAAUUAUUCAGCUAAGACUAAGGGUUUUGGUUAAUCACAAAAUGCUUAUCUAAAAAUUAAUGACAAAAUUCAGUGUAGGGGUGCUUUAUCGUAAUACAUGGUUUGGCAUGUUGUAAAGUAAUCUCUAAAAUUUGCGACACAUGUUAGCAUGGCAAAUCAAAAGUUCCAGUGUGGUUUUGUUCUUUUUAAAGUUUGUGUUAUCUUUUUUGCGAACAUAGAAUCUAUAGCACCAUUAUGUAUGAUUUUAUUUACUUUAUAAGUUGCUUUUCAUUUGAAGGCUUUUUAAUAAACAAAUCAAACCAGAAACUACGUUUUAACUGUCGUAUUAUUCCUCGUGGGGUAGGUCUUUCAGUCUGAUGACUCGACAGUCAAACGGCUGGGUGUUACUAAAUAUAUCUGGUGUGGUGAAUAGUGGUUUACGCUUAACAGGCUACAGUUUAAUUCUUCACACCCUUUAGAGUUAUCUGCUUGACACAUGGUAGGCGUAUCGCUGGCCCUGUUUAGUUCUGGUGUAAAUGCAGGGAAACGCGAGACAUUAACUCCAAUCCAACCUGCUUCCAUUAAAUAUUGCGCUGAUUCACAUGAGCGUAUGGCUGUCUGACAUGAUAAAGGUCAUUGUCAUAUUUGACUAUGUAGCAUGGUGUGCAUAUAUGAAAUAACGACAUGAUAGAGUCUGUUUUUGUGUAAUCAAGACCCUCCAUGGUUUGCUGAGCAACCCAUCUUGUGAUAUGAAGCAGGAAACUUAAUUCUUAAGUUUGACUCGGCGGUUUUGACAGAUUGAUUUCUUUUGUUUCUUACUCAAACUCAAACUAGAGCUCUAAUGAAUAGUUGAACAUUUCAAAGCCCUGUUAAAGACAUUUACAUUCAAAUCUAAUGCUCUUCAGCUUUUUUCUUUUAUGCAUUCUGUUUAAACCUGGUAUUCUCAACAGUUGCAGAAAAAGAUUAGGCUGUGCGAUUACUCUACCUUUUUUUUACAGAAGUAGAUUCUCAUUGAUUCUGCAUAGGUUUGUUCCAACUCGUGUGGUCCAAACAUUUUAAAUAACUCCAUAUUUUGUAAAGUCAAAAUGUAUUAAAAUAAUUGAAUUAAUGUUUUUUGGCAUUUAGCUUUGCAAAACUUGUACAACAGUCACAAUAGGCACGUACCAGUAUUAACAGGGUGGUCUAGCAACACUAUAUAUAUAUUUCUAAACAAUGGCCAUUUAUUCCAAGGAAUUAUUUUAUCUAAAUUGAGGAUUUUGUUCAAUGUUUUUUCCCACCAUUAUUUUGCCUGGGGCUGUGAUGAUAUCAGAAAAUAUGAAGCUUCAUUCAAAAACCUCAACAAAAUUUCAGAAUAAGGGGAAAAAAAUGCAUGAAAUGUCUUCAAACUGCCUGUCUGUUUUGCCCCUGGCGCAGAGGGAGCGGAGCCUUUCCUCGCUGAAUGUAUCUAUCGCCUACCUUGUGUCAAGCAAUUUCCCAGAAGCAGAACAAUAACUGAGCUUUGCGGUGGCCCACAUCUCUGUCGACUUGCGACAAUUGUUCUUUAUCUUGAUUUGCAUUCUUCAUUUCUGUCAUUAAGUUCACACUUCAUAAUAGUCACACUUUAAAUUAAUGUGUUUACCAUAAACUUGUAUGACUUUAUAUGUAUAGUACAAAUUGCAUGCUGUCCUGGUAUUCUUAGUUUCUGUGCUCUUUGUAGGUUGUUAGACUCUAUGCAGGAGAUGCCAGCUCAUGGUAAGUCGUCCUUGGAGGAUAGGCAGUAUCCAGGACAGAAGAGUCUGUCUCUGCUCUGGCAGCUGUAAAGACUCAUGGAGUUUCAGAACAUAAUGAGCUGGGGAGAGAUGGGAUCAGACAGCCCUGUAGUUAAAGGAAGCGGAUUUUGUCCUUCGGUGAAGAGUUUGGUCGGUUGGUUGGUGUGGUGGAGGGAACUUCCUGUCCUCGGAACGUAUUCCAUCUUUGUUCUCUGUAACUGAUGACAGCGAAAUAAUGAGUUUCCUAGAGGAAAAUUAAUUCAAUCAUUCAUCAGUCCUACAGAUCACAAUUUGGACUGGUUCUUACUGACUUAAGACAUAUCUUAGAUUUGUGGCUGGUGGUGGCAAAUGUGUUGAAAUUCUGUAAACGGUGCUAAUGGGGAGUCGAUGAGGAACCUUUGUCUCGGUGGACACGAUUCAACAGUAAUGCAUUUUUAAUCAAAGUCUGUGUCCGGAGAAGUUAUCUGUGAAGGGAAGGGUCAAACUCUGGACUUCCACACAGCAGAACGCUGUUCGUGUUCCAUAUAAAUACAAGUCAGCGUGUGCUUAUUUGAACAUUUUUCUUUCCUUUUUAAAAAAAAAUAUUUUGUAACAAAUGUACUGAUUUUAACCAAAACCUUUUCCUUAAGCUAACAAGUAGUUUCUAUUGUGGCGGCACAUAAUGCUGUGUUACAGCAAUGAGGGAAAUGUUUACUUAACUUUAUAUCAUGGUCAUUGUUAAGUUUUUCACAAAAUUCUUCAUGUUUUGCUAUUAUCUUGACCGUUAGCUAUUUUUGAUCCUAAAACUACAGUCAUGUAAAAAAUUAUUAGACCAUUGUUUUCUUCAAUUUCUUGUUCAUUUUAAUGCCUGGUACAACUAAAGGUACAUUUGUUUGGACAAAUAUAACAAAAAAGCUCAUAAGAGCAUAAUUUAAGAGCUGAUAUCUAGCCAUUUUCUUUAAUUAUUUGGUUAUUAAACAAAAGGCAUUAAAAUGAACAAGAAAUUGAAGAAAAUCAAGGGUGGUCUAACAAUUUUUCCAUGACUGUAUUUCAUACAAAUCCUUUACAGAGGUAACGCUACAUAUGUAGUUGCAUGCCAUAAAUUCUUAGAUUUUGUAACUGUUUUCAGAAUGAAAGUAAGAUGAUGGUGAAUAAACAAGGUCUGAAAUGA